rnacentral:rRNA from 1 species
AGAGUUUGAUCAUGGCUCAGAUUGAACGCUGGCGGCAGGCCUAACACAUGCAAGUCGAACGGUAACAGGAAGCGCUUGCUGUUUCGCUGACGAGUGGCGGACGGGUGAGUAAUGUCUGGGAAACUGCCUGAUGGAGGGGGAUAACUACUGGAAACGGUAGCUAAUACCGCAUAACGUCGCAAGACCAAAGAGGGGGACCUUCGGGCCUCUUGCCAUCGGAUGUGCCCAGAUGGGAUUAGCUUGUUGGUGGGGUAACGGCUCACCAAGGCGACGAUCCCUAGCUGGUCUGAGAGGAUGACCAGCCACACUGGAACUGAGACACGGUCCAGACUCCUACGGGAGGCAGCAGUGGGGAAUAUUGCACAAUGGGCGCAAGCCUGAUGCAGCCAUGCCGCGUGUAUGAAGAAGGCCUUCGGGUUGUAAAGUACUUUCAGCGGGGAGGAAGGGAGUAAAGUUAAUACCUUUGCUCAUUGACGUUACCCGCAGAAGAAGCACCGGCUAACUCCGUGCCAGCAGCCGCGGUAAUACGGAGGGUGCAAGCGUUAAUCGGAAUUACUGGGCGUAAAGCGCACGCAGGCGGUUUGUUAAGUCAGAUGUGAAAUCCCCGGGCUCAACCUGGGAACUGCAUCUGAUACUGGCAAGCUUGAGUCUCGUAGAGGGGGUAGAAUUCCAGGUGUAGCGGUGAAAUGCGUAGAGAUCUGGAGGAAUACCGGUGGCGAAGGCGGCCCCCUGGACGAAGACUGACGCUCAGGUGCGAAAGCGUGGGGAGCAAACAGGAUUAGAUACCCUGGUAGUCCACGCCGUAAACGAUGUCGACUUGGAGGUUGUGCCCUUGAGGCGUGGCUUCCGGAGCUAACGCGUUAAGUCGACCGCCUGGGGAGUACGGCCGCAAGGUUAAAACUCAAAUGAAUUGACGGGGGCCCGCACAAGCGGUGGAGCAUGUGGUUUAAUUCGAUGCAACGCGAAGAACCUUACCUGGUCUUGACAUCCACGGAAGUUUUCAGAGAUGAGAAUGUGCCUUCGGGAACCGUGAGGCAGGUGCUGCAUGGCUGUCGUCAGCUCGUGUUGUGAAAUGUUGGGUUAAGUCCCGCAACGAGCGCAACCCUUAUCCUUUGUUGCCAGCGGUCCGGCCGGGAACUCAAAGGAGACUGCCAGU